rnacentral:rRNA from 1 species
ACGGGUGAGGAACGCGUAGGAAUCUGCCUUACAGAGGGGGACAACUAGAGGAAACUCUAGCUAAUACCGCAUAAAGUCUGCGGACCAAAGGCUGGGUAGCAAUACCUGGCGCUGUAAGAGGAGCCUGCGUCCGAUUAGCUAGUUGGUAGGGUAAAGGCCUACCAAGGCGAUGAUCGGUAGCUGGUCUGAGAGGAUGAUCAGCCACACUGGGACUGAGACACGGCCCAGACUCCUACGGGAGGCAGCAGUGGGGAAUAUUGGACAAUGGGGGCAACCCUGAUCCAGCAAUACCGCGUGUGUGAAGAAGGCCUUCGGGUUGUAAAGCACUUUAGGUUGGGAAGAAGGUGUGUAGUUUAAGAGAUGACACAUUUGACUGUACCGACAGAAUAAGCACCGGCUAACUCUGUGCCAGCAGCCGCGGUAAUACAGAGGGUGCAAGCGUUAAUCGGAGUUACUGGGCGUAAAGGGCGCGUAGGCGGUUUAGUAAGUGAGAUGUGAAAGCCCUGGGCUUAACCUAGGAACUGCAUCUUAUACUGUUAGACUAGAGUACUGUAGAGGGUAGUGGAAUUUCCGGUGU